GGUUACUGCUAUCGGUGUUCGCCUAAGCCAUGCGAGUCAUAUGUUCGUAAGAACAUGGCGUACUGCUCAGUAACACGUGGAUAACCUGCCCUUGGGUCCGGCAUAACCCCGGGAAACUGGGGAUAAUUCCGGAUAACGCACAUAUGCUGGAAUGCUUUAUGCGUAAAAUGGAUUCGUCUGCCCAAGGAUGGGUCUGCGGCCUAUCAGGUAGUAGUGGGUGUAAUGUACCUACUAGCCUACGACGGGUACGGGUUGUGAGAGCAAGAGCCCGGAGAUGGAUUCUGAGACAUGAAUCCAGGCCCUACGGGGCGCAGCAGGCGCGAAAACUUUACAAUGCGGGAAACCGUGAUAAGGGGACACCGAGUGCCAGCAUCCUAUGCUGGCUGUCCGGGUGUGUAAAAUACACCUGUUAGCAAGGGCCGGGCAAGACCGGUGCCAGCCGCCGCGGUAACACCGGCGGCCCGAGUGGUGAUCGUGAUUAUUGGGUCUAAAGGGUCCGUAGCCGGUUUGGUCAGUCCUCCGGGAAAUCUGACAGCUUAACUGUUAGGCUUUCGGAGGAUACUGCCAGACUUGGAACCGGGAGAGGUAAGAGGUACUACAGGGGUAGGAGUGAAAUCUUGUAAUCCCUGUGGGACCACCUGUGGCGAAGGCGUCUUACCAGAACGGGUUCGACGGCGAGGGACGAAAGCUGGGGGCACGAACCGGAUUAGAUACCCGGGUAGUCCCAGCCGUAAACGAUGCUCGCUAGGUGUCAGGCAUGGCGCGACCGUGUCUGGUGCCGCAGGGAAGCCGUGAAGCGAGCCACCUGGGAAGUACGGCCGCAAGGCUGAAACUUAA
rnacentral:rRNA from 1 species